rnacentral:rRNA from 1 species
UUGCANUGGGCGAAAGCCUGAUGCAGCGACGCCGCGUGGGGGAUGAAGCUUCUCGGAGUGUAAACCCCUUUCGACCCGGACGAAUGCCCCGCAAGGGGACUGACGGUACGGGUAUAAGAAGCCCCGGCUAACUACGUGCCAGCAGCCGCGGUAAGACGUGGGGGGCCAGCGUUGCUCGGAAUUACUGGGUGUAAAGGGUCAGUAGGCGGUGUGGCAAGUCGGGAGUGAAAUCUCUGGGCUUAACUCAGAGACUGCUUCCGAAACUGCUGUGCUUGAGUGUGGGAGAGGCGCGUGGAAUUGCAGGUGUAGCGGUGAAAUGCGUAGAUAUCUGCAGGAACACCCGUGGCGAAAGCGGCGCGCUGGACCACAACUGACGCUGAAUGACGAAAGCUAGGGGAGCAAACAGGAUUAGAUACCCUGGUAGUCCUAGCCCUAAACGAUCAGGACUUGGGGUGCCACCCGUUCGGGUGUCGUCCCGGAGCUAACGCGUUAAGUCCUGCACCUGGGGAGUACGGUCGCAAGACUGAAACUCAAAGAAAUUGACGGA